rnacentral:tRNA from 1 species
GCUAACGUAGCUUAACCAAAGCAUAACACUGAAGAUGUUAAGAUGGACCCUGAAAAGUCCCGGAAGCA